GGAGGGAUGGCCGAGUGGCUGAAGGCAACGGUUUGCUAAACCGUCAUAUGACGUAAGUUGUAUCAUGGGUUCGAAUCCCAUUCCCUCCGCCA
rnacentral:tRNA from 1 species